rnacentral:tRNA from 1 species
GGUUUCGUGGUGUAGUUGGUUAUCACGUCAGUCUAACACAUUAAUUAAAGGUCUCCGGUUCAAGUCUGGGCAAAGCCA